rnacentral:rRNA from 1 species
AUUGAACGCUGGCGGCAGGCUUAACACAUGCAAGUCGAACGGUAACAGGAGAGAGCUUGCUUUCUUGCUGACGAGUGGCGGACGGGUGAGUAAUGCUUGGGAAUCUGGCUUAUGGAGGGGGAUAACGACGGGAAACUGUCGCUAAUACCGCGUAGAGUCGAGAGACGAAAGUGCGGGACCGCAAGGCCGCAUGCCAUAGGAUGAGCCCAAGUGGGAUUAGGUAGUUGGUGGGGUAAUGGCCUACCAAGCCGACGAUCUCUAGCUGGUCUGAGAGGAUGACCAGCCACACCGGGACUAAGACACGGCCCGGACUCCUACGGGAGGCAGCAGUGGGGAAUAUUGCGCAAUGGGGGCAACCCUGACGCAGCCAUGCCGCGUGAAUGAAGAAGGCCUUCGGGUUGUAAAGUCCUUUCGGUGACGAGGAAGGCGUGAUGUUUAAUAGGCAUCACGAUUGACGUUAAUCACAGAAGAAGCACCGGCUAACUCCGUGCCAGCAGCCGCGGUAAUACGGAGGGUGCGAGCGUUAAUCGGAAUAACUGGGCGUAAAGGGCACGCAGGCGGCUAUUUAAGUGAGGUGUGAAAUCCCCGGGCUUAACCUGGGAAUUGCAUUUCAGACUGGGUAGCUAGAGUACUUUAGGGAGGGGUAGAAUUCCACGUGUAGCGGUGAAAUGCGUAGAGAUGUGGAGGAAUACCGAAGGCGAAGGCAGCCCCUUGGGAAUGUACUGACGCUCAUGUGCGAAAGCGUGGGGAGCAAACAGG